GUGAGCAACCUGCCUACUAGAGGGGAAUAACAGUGAGAAAUCAUUGCUAAUACCGCAUAUGCCAUGAACAUCACAUGAUGAAAAUGGGAAAAGAGUAAUCUGCUAGUAGAUGGGCUCGCGUCUGAUUAGAUAGUUGGUGGGGUAACGGCCUACCAAGUCGACGAUCAGUAGCCGGACUGAGAGGUUGAACGGCCACAUUGGGACUGAGAUACGGCCCAGACUCCUACGGGAGGCAGCAGUCGGGAAUAUUGCGCAAUGGAGGAAACUCUGACGCAGUGACGCCGCGUAUAGGAAGAAGGUUUUCGGAUUGUAAACUAUUGUCGUUAGGGAAGAUACAAGACAGUACCUAAGGAGGAAGCUCCGGCUAACUACGUGCCAGCAGCCGCGGUAAUACGUAGGGAGCAAGCGUUAUCCGGAUUUAUUGGGUGUAAAGGGUGCGUAGACGGGACAACAAGUUAGUUGUGAAAUCCCUCGGCUUAACUGAGGAACUGCAACUAAAACUAUUGUUCUUGAGUGUUGGAGAGGAAAGUGGAAUUCCUAGUGUAG
rnacentral:rRNA from 1 species